AGCUAGUUCCACCACGACCAAGAAAAAGCAAAGAACAACUUUCAGAUUUUUUGUUACAAAUUCCUAAAGCAACUGGAACGUGUAACCAUCCUGUCACAUUUAUAUAUCUUCUGUGGGGAACAUAACCGACACCAUCAGGUUAGCCUCAACUUUUUCCAUACAUUGUACAUUACAUUAUUAAAUCUCAAUAAUAAUUUAUAUGUGCUCUAUUAUUAUUACUACUCAACUCUUCACAUUCAUUUCAUUCUCCAUGCAUCUUUCAUUUCUUCCAAAUUUUAAUAAUAAAUCUAACCGAUACUAGUAUAUGAAUAACUAAAUCCAAAAUAAUAGCUAGAAGGGAAAACAGCAGAUUUAUCAUACACUUUCUGUGUUCUAUCUGGAAAAUCUUUCUCUUGCAAGUUGCAACAAACUGUCAGAGAAAGUUUAUGUGGUUGAAACUUUGGAUUUGAGAUCUAUUUUGGCAAGGUGAAGUUUUGUUCUUUCUCACUUUGGUUUCUGAGAUUUGAAAUCUAGCUUUUUGACUUAGUUCUUGUGAUUAUGGAGACACUUGUUGUUGUUGAACAAUAUAAGAAUCAAUACUGUAGCAGGUCUAAGCCACAAGAGCAUGGUAGAUUUGAGUAUUCAUCUACCAAAGACUUUAUAGGGAUUAAUUGCAGGACUUUUGAGUCUGGUUUAGCUUUAUCACCUACUACACCUUUGAAAUCUUUUGAUGAAAGUCCUAAUUUGAAAACUACUCCUAAGACUAAGAUUAGUGAUCCAAUUCCAAUUAAUGGCAAAGGUUUUAGAAAUGAAAGAAUUUUUGAUGAAAGUGAUGGAGGCAUUUUGCUAUCUGAGUUAUGGGCUGGACCUACAUACUCGAAUUCGCCACCGCCUAGUUCGUUGCCGAUUCCUAAGUUUUCUGUGAGGCCUAAAAGGACUGUGUCUCUUGAUCUUCCUGGUUCGUCUCGUGAGAUUGAAUUGGGUUUCAUGGCUAAGUCUGCGCCGUGUUCUCCAACUAGGGAGCGUUUGGAUUUUACUAGGGAUCUUUUUGUUAAUGCUGAUUCUGCUACUAAGACGUUGUGUCGGAUUCUCAAUCUUAAUGUCAGCGAUGAGUGACAUAGAAGGAGCGUUGUAAUCCUGUAAAUAAGUGUGUGCAAUGAAACUGGGUUGGUUGAAGCUAGAUGUGUAUAAAGGUUCAAUAAAAUUUGUAAUCUUAGUUGGUUUGAGUUUGUGUAGCUUGAAGUUGUGGUGUUUUGGAAAUGGACUAGGCUUGGCAGUGGAGAGGGUUACUUGGUGUGUGCCAGAGGAAUCUGUUGAAACUUUGAUGGAAGCUUCCAUUGAAAUGAUCCGGAAGAAGAAUGACGGUAAGUUAACAGGUAGGAGGGGCAUCAAACAGACCUUCGUUGGCUGCGAUUAUUGGUCCUGAAGAAUGUUGUUACAUACAAAUUGAAUCUUGAAUUUGCGAUAUGUAGUUACCACUUAGCAGAAGCUUCUUCUCAUAUAAUGGUUAACUUUCCUUUAUUCUGACAUAGGAUUUAGGUACAUACUGCUGUAGAAUCUUGCCCUUACUAAAAACCCUUAAGUCUCUCCUCUUUCUUUCAAGUUUUUUUUCUUCUUUUUUUCCGAUUUUUAUAGCCGUAAUCUUUAAUCAUAUUCACUUCUAUCAUGAUUUACUUUUGUGUUUUGUCUGACUUCAUCACUGUCAUUAAAGUCGACUAGAUGAUAUAUAGUUUGCUAGUUACUAGUACCUUCUGUUAUCAGUCUUUCAUCUUCUCAGUCAUAGUCAUAGCUACCCUCAGUGAAGGUUUUGUUUUCUCCUUCACUAUCUUUUCUGAUUUUUUCAAUGAAAAGUUAGAAGGGAUUUGAAGUAGUCUUUUGCUGCAUUUUCUACUGUUUUCUAGGAUUAAUCAACGCGGUUCCACCAGCUAGUUAACCACCUGGUAGAUUUCCGUCCUUUUGAUUCUGAGUAAUGCUUGUUUCUUUAGUCCUAAUCCUCACCUAGCUUUUCUUCCGUUUCCAUGGAGAAUGUUGACCACGCCAUACCAAAAUUCAAGGCUGGCAAUCUUUACUCAUACUGUUUCUGCUAUGGCUCAUGAAAUGUGAUCAGUUGCAAAGUGGUCCUUUGUGGCUCGAAACUUUGUUUUUCUGUUAUUUUCGUUGUUCUGUAACUAGUGUAACUUGUUUGGUUUGAUGAAGUAAAAUGUUAACUACUACUGUCAAUGAAGGUAUAGAACAUCAUUAUGUAUUUGAAUCAAAUACUUGCUCUCUUUAAUUUAUGCAGUGUUUAUUGAAA